rnacentral:lncRNA from 7 species
ACGUGGUAUUCGGAGUAAGUGGUUCUAGAGGAACUCCACUUAAGGAACACGGGUCAGAAGGAGGUGAUGGAUGUCCUUUCCCAGCAGUAGUGGUGCCCUCCUUGGAUUUGUAGAACUGCGUACAAAACACAUUUUCAUUUCAACAUCGCUAAGAAUCUCUCAAUUUCAGCAGAAAGAUGAAGCCUCUGGACAAAAUGUGUUCCAAAUAAUAUAAUCUGCACUUCCUGUCACAUAAAGAAAACUCUUCUCAAGAUGCUGACUGGGAGACUCUUCCCCCACCUCUUGCAUCAUGGAUAAUCAAUAUUUGCCUGGAUGAUGCUGAUGAUGGACAAUACGCUGGGUCUGCAAUAACAUUGACUCAAAAUUCCUUGCUCAUUGUGAGAUAACUUCCUAAAGAUUGCGAGCAAAAGGAAGUCAGAGAACAAAGCAAUGUCAAGUAUGCACAUGUCACAACACAAUGCGCUGAUUCCAAGUCUUUGGAAACAUGCUGAAAGAUGUCUGGAAAAAAAAAAAAAAAGAAGAAAAAAAAAAAAAAGGAAAUGCUUUCACACAGAAUUUCGACAUGAAAACAACAGCUGAAUGUGCCUGUUCCUGCCAGGAAAAAAUACCCUGAAAAAACAAAAGCUACACAAGAGGAUAUGAGCAGAGAUCAAGCCCAUUGAAAACAAACCGAGAGGUUGACCAGCCUACUGGGGUGACUGAAAGGCCAGAAAAGAUGCUGCGGGAAGACUUCCAAGCAACAAUAAAUAUUGAAGUUCUUUCCAACUCAAUGUUUUGAAAUGUCUUAGAAGUUUUAACCAAAAGGCCUUGCUAUGAUCAACUCUAGUAGGGGAAUAAGAGUAAUAUUUCCACAAGAAAUAUUUUAUUUUCAAUGGUACUUUCUCCAAAAACCACCAAUGGAGAAGUGGUGGGAUUUGAUGACAACAUAGACUUUAAAAAUGUAAUAAACUUAUCUAAUGGAAAAGAUGAUGACAGCUUUCAAAGAUAUGUCCACCAACAAGAACUGCUGCAGCCAGAUGUUUUGGUCAAAUUCGAGUACGUCACUGAGAUACUGAGCAAGCUCAAAACAGAACAGCUGAUUGCUUUGAAGAGCCAACACUUGAAAUUACUUAAAGCACUCUUCUACCAAAGAGACAGAAGACAGCUUUCAUAUUCUCGAGUCAUCCUACAAAGUCCUGCGUGAAAUAGACUACUGCAGCCUACAGGCAUCAUAGAAAUAUUUCAGUCAAGACCACAAGUUCCACUCUUGCCCCUAUGCUUAUGCUAAUGUGCACGAUCUCUUUGAUGAACAACAGCAAGGAGACUGGAUAGCUUGAGGUGUAAUUGAUGGGAUGCUGAAGGUCUGGCUGUUGUUUUGGUGGUUAUUUUUAUAGAUUAUAAAGGAACUGACCAUGCAGUGCUACCUCAACUUGUGGCUGAAUCUAACAGCUUCAUGGACUCAGCCCUCCAUUUAGCCCAUUUGGUCAAAUUAGGCUGGUGGUAACUGAAAGCUGUGACCAGCUGAUGGCUAUGUUGAAUGAUAGCUUGUGGAAAUCUCCUUAGUGGACUCAGACCAAAUUUUACUGACAGAAUCUCACUAUCUCCAAGCAAAUUCCUCCAAAAUAAAUGCUAACUCAAGGCUCAGGGGCAACCACAGGUUUAAAGACAAGGAGGGUGAACUUGUGUCUUCUCUAGAAGUAUUUUCUGUAAGCCAGCAAUGAAGUGAAAAAAAGGCACAUUUGUGUCAGCACCACCCAGGCUGUCAAUAAAGAACUCCUGCCCUCAGAACU